AGGGAAGUAGUUCAAUCGGUAGAGCGGCGGUCUCCAAAACCGUAAGUUGCGGGUUCAAAUCCUGUCUUCCCUGCCA
rnacentral:tRNA from 2 species